rnacentral:rRNA from 1 species
GAUCAAGCUACAAAGGGCGCAUGGUGGAUGCCUUGGCACCAGGAGCCGAUGAAGGACGUGGUAAGCUGCGAAAAGCUGCGGGUAGCCGCAAACAGGCUGUGAUCCGCAGAUGUCCGAAUGGGGGAACCCGCAUGGCUAACGCCAUGCAUCCUUAGCUGAAUCCAUAGGCUAAGGAGGGCACACCCGGGGAACUGAAACAUCUAAGUACCCGGAGGAAAAGAAAGAAUAAUCGAUUCCCUAAGUAGCGGCGAGCGAAAGGGGAGGAGCCCAAACCAGAGGAAACUCUGGGGUUGCGGACAGGUCAAGAAAGCGAAGGAGUUCUUAGUCGAAUAGGUCUGGAAAGGCCAGCCACAGAAGGUAAAAGCCCUGUAGGCGAAAAGGACUUUGAGCGAGACCUGAUCCAGAGUACCACGGGACACGAGGAACCCUGUGGGAAGCAGGGAGGACCACCUCCCAAGGCUAAAUACUACCUGGUGACCGAUAGCGCAUAGUACCGU